rnacentral:rRNA from 1 species
GAUGAACGCUGGCGGCGUGCCUAAUACAUGCAAGUCGAGCGAACAGACGAGGAUCUUGCUCCUCUGACGUUAGCGGCGGACGGGUGAGUAACACGUGGAUAACCUACCUAUAAGACUGGGAUAACUUCGGGAAACCGGAGCUAAUACCGGAUAAUAUAUUGAACCGCAUGGUUCAAUAGUGAAAGACGGUUUUGCUGUCACUUAUAGAUGGAUCCGCGCCGCAUUAGCUAGUUGGUAAGGUAACGGCUUACCAAGGCAACGAUGCGUAGCCGACCUGAGAGGGUGAUCGGCCACACUGGAACUGAGACACGGUCCAGACUCCUACGGGAGGCAGCAGUAGGGAAUCUUCCGCAAUGGGCGAAAGCCUGACGGAGCAACGCCGCGUGAGUGAUGAAGGUCUUCGGAUCGUAAAACUCUGUUAUUAGGGAAGAACAAAUGUGUAAGUAACUAUGCACGUCUUGACGGUACCUAAUCAAAAAGCCACGGCUAACUACGUG